rnacentral:rRNA from 1 species
GUGGGGAAUUUUGGACAAUGGGCGAAAGCCUGAUCCAGCCAUGCCGCGUGCAGGAUGAAGGCCUUCGGGUUGUAAACUGCUUUUGUACGGAACGAAAAGACUCCUUCUAAUAAAGGGGGUCCAUGACGGUACCGUAAGAAUAAGCACCGGCUAACUACGUGCCAGCAGCCGCGGUAAUACGUAGGGUGCAAGCGUUAAUCGGAAUUACUGGGCGUAAAGCGUGCGCAGGCGGUUAUAUAAGACAGAUGUGAAAUCCCCGGGCUCAACCUGGGAACUGCAUUUGUGACUGUAUAGCUAGAGUACGGUAGAGGGGGAUGGAAUUCCGCGUGUAGCAGUGAAAUGCGUAGAUAUGCGGAGGAACACCGAUGGCGAAGGCAAUCCCCUGGACCUGCACUGACGCUCAUGCACGAAAGCGUGGGGAGCAAACAGGAUUAGAUACCCUGGUAGUCC